CGAAUUUUUAGUUACAAAAGUCAAACUGACACACAAAAUAAUAAACAAACUAGCUUACACUGUGCCGAGUUGCCCGGGCUCAGCGUUCAAGUUUAUGGAUAGCAGCAUCCGCCAAAUUUGUGGCCUCAGUCACCGAGUUGGACUGGGUAGAUAAAGGCGAAAAUAUCAACAAAUAUGUAGGAAGGCUAUACAACGUGGAAAAUAUUACGUUCCAAAGCAUAAAGCAUAGAUGAAGUUAUAUAUUAUAUUAAGUUGUGUUUUAUCAAAGUUUAGAUGGAAAUCAAUCUCAAAUUUUUCGUUUAUAGUUAUUGAGAAUAUAUUUUUGAUUGAAAAUAUAUAAACAUUCAAUUCCGAACUUAAGCAUUUUUUAAAGUCUCUAGUAACGACGAAAUGUGUGAUUUUAUUUGUUUAUUUAUGACACAACUCUUCGUUUUGAAUUGCAGCUACAACGAGAAUUUGUAAGAGCUGAAGGGCACCCAUUUGCUUAUUUUGAUUGGGGGCAUAAAAAAUACGCCAAAUAUGUGCAAGGAAUUCGCUCUACAUUUGGUUCUAUCGCCCGCCCCAAGGAGCCUGCACAUUUUGAGAGCGAGGAAUAAAAACGGAUUUGCAGUUAUGAACGCAAACAUGCCGUAAAGCAAAUAAAUGGGAAAAGGAAAAAUCAAGAAAAAUUUCCUAGAACGUGGCCACAGAACUGGAAAAUAGUUGCCGCAUAUUUCAUCCAGGGGCAGCAUGAGAAGCCCAAAACCCAGCACCAUAGCAACACCCCAACCAGGUGUAUUUAUGUAGGUGCGUGACCCUGACAAAUGGGAACGAUAAUUCGAAUCCAAUUAAACUAAAAGCAAUUUGCUCGCCACAUGAAAACUGCAGAACUAAGAUUUCGGUUGACACUUAACGGCCAGCAGGACACCAGAACAGGAUAACAGAAUAAAGUUGUCGAGGGUGCAGUUAACAAAGGCCAAAGGAGAACGCAUUGUCGCAUUGUCGCAUUGUCUCACUGAAGAGGCCGUGGACGGCAGUCUGCAUUGUCAGGACAUGCAACAAUGGCGACUUUGACUGAUGCGAGUGUGGAUACCGUUACGAUGGGGUUUGAAAAUGACACAGUUUAUGCCCUCUCCAAGCGGAAUCAGACAAUGCGACAUUGUCUUUACGUUUGCCAACAUAAUUAAAUUCUAUUUAUUCAAAGCUUUUUCAAAUUAACAAAACUUUUGAACAUAGACACUCUCUCUAAUUAUACUCAAACU